GGCCCUGUCUGUCUCAAACGGCAGAGAAUGGAAUUCACCACUGUCAGGGUUCUGGGUUCGAUUCCCAGUGGGGUCCA